UACGAGAGGGUGCGAGCGUUACCCGGAUUUACUGGGUGUAAAGGGCGUGUAGGCGGUCUCUCAAGUCCGAUGCUAAAGACCGAAGCUCAACUUCGGGGGUGCGUUGGAUACUGUGAGGCUAGACGGUCGGAGAGGGUAGCGGAAUUUCCGGAGUAGCGGUGAAAUGCGCAGAUACCGGAAGGAACGCCAAUAGCGAAAGCAGCUACCUGGACGAUUUGUGACGCUGAGGCGCGAAAGCGUGGGGAGCAAACCGGAUUAGAUACCCGGGUAGUCCACGCCCUAAACGAUGAGUGCUGGGUGUCCGACAUCUGUUGGGUGCCGUAGCUAACGCGUUAAGCACUCCACCUGGGAAGUACGGUCGCAAGACUGAAACUCAAAGGAAUUGACGGGGGCCCGCACAAGCGGUGGAGCAUGUGGUUUAAUUCGAAGCAACGCGCAGAACCUUACCAGGUCUUGACAUCCACGGAACCCUGGUGAAAGCCGGGGGUGCCCGCAAGGGAGCCGUGAGACAGGUGCUGCAUGGUCGUCGUCAGCUCGUGUCGUGAGAUGUUGGGUUAAGUCCCGCAACGAGCGCAACCCUUGUUGCUAGUUGCCAUCAGUUCGGCUGGGCACUCUAGCGAGACUGCUUACGAAAGUAGGAGGAAGGCGGGGAUGACGUCUGAUCCGCAUGGCCUUUACGACUUGGGCGACACACGUGCUACAAUGCCUGCCACAAAGCGCUGCGACCCGGCAACGGGAAGCCAAUCGCAUAAAAGCAGGCUCAGUUCGGAUUGGGGUCUGCAACUCGACCCCAUGAAGCUGGAAUCGCUAGUAAUCGCGGAUCAGCCAUGCCGCGGUGAAUACGUUCCCGGGCC
rnacentral:rRNA from 1 species